rnacentral:tRNA from 1 species
GCGGGCGUGACGCAAUGGUAGCGUAUCAGCUUCCCAAGCUGGGUGUUGCGGGUUCGAGUCCCGUCGCCCGCUCCA